UCUUAAUGUCUCGCUUAUUUGUUGAACCGAGUUAAUAACUCUUAAGAGUAAAUAUCUUCUUCUCCUAGCAUGCCUCAUCUCUAUUCUUCUUCCCCUGCGACCUCCACCUUCUUCCCCUGCGACCUCCACCGCCACUAGGCUGAUCUCCACCGCCACUAGGCGAACCUCCAUCACCAAACGUAUAGUCUUCGCGUCCUCCAUUUCUCUCGUGCAAAGAAAUCUCCACUUCGCGGUCUGGUUUUUCUCACGGGUUGCUCACUGCGUCCACCGCCGUGCCGCCACAGUUCGUCCACCACCGGUGCCUCCAUUGUCUCCGACGAAGUGCUGUCCAAGUUUGGUGGCUCGUUGAAUUCCCGUUGGGGUUCAUCUAGGGUUUCUGACGAGCCUAGGAGAAACAGUUCCUUUGGGGCUAGGGUUUCAAUUCGCGAGCUUCCCCCUUCUCGCGCUGACGAAACUGAUAAUUGGGGGACGGCAAAGAAACCUUCGGGAGGGUUUGAGAGGAGGGUUCUUCAAUUCGCAUCCGCGCCCUAACGAAUCGGAGAGUUGGGUUUCGAAAAAGAGUUUUGUGUCGUCGGAGCGGCAAUUCGCCUCCAACGGUGGAGGGUUUGAGAGAGAGAGGAAGGUUAUUGGGUUUGGCUCCAGUGGCGGCGUUAAUUCAAAUGACUGGAACAAGAAGAAGGGUGAAUCCAACGUUAGUAACGAGAGUGUUGGUGCUGGUGGAGGGAGACCAAGGCUUGUUCUGCAACCUUUGUCUUUGUCGGUGUCCAAUGAAGGGGGGAUGGGAAUGUGGAGAAACCUAAAGGGGCCAAGGAGACAGGUGGAGGUGAUGCCUUUGUGAAGAGGGGUUUUGGGUCUUCGAAUGGAGGAGGACGAUCCAAGAUGGUUCUAAGAAGGGUGUACUCCAAUGUGUCCACCGAGUGUGUGGAAAUUCGCAAGAUUUUUUCCAAUUGGAAGGUGCUUCUUAUGGUUCCCGCAGCUUGGUCCAGCAACUUCUUUUACCCUUACCAGUUCAAUGAUGUGAAUGGGGCUAGAGGGUUCAACAGUGUGUUCUAUUGGGGGGCUCAGAUGCUCGGUUCUGUUGGGAUUGGUUAUCUGCUGAAUUUGAGAGGAGAAGGGUGAGGGGUUGUUGGGAGUUGUGGUGGUUGGUGUUCUUGGGACUGCAAUUUGGGGUGGUGCACUUGCUAAUCAGCUCAGGUACAACUCCAAUGCUUUGCCAGAAAAGUCUUGUGUUCUGUCGUUUGAGAAUUUCACUUCAGUGCCAAUUUUUGGUAAGAAAACAUGCCAACAUUUUGAUGAACACUCAAAUCAGACUCAGGAAAAAACCAGAAAACCCCUUAAGAGGGAAAUAAACUCUUCUCAGACACUUGAUCACAUAAUGGCUGAGAGAAAAAGGAGAGAGAAUCUCACCAAAAUGUUCAUUGCCCUUUCUGCUCUUAUUUUUUGGCUUGAAAAAGAUGGACAAGGUUUCUGUUCUGAACAAGGCGAUAAAGCUACCAAUAAAUGUCCAAGCUUGAAGCUCAUAAUCUCUCAGGUACUGUGGUUUGUUUAAAGGAAUACAGAGUGCAGGGAUUGUUGUUGCAUGGCAAGUAGAUGAACAUAGUGUGUGUUUGAUGUCCCAGUUGGUAGUGAAUUGGGUGCUCACAACAAUAAGUUAUCUAAGGCUGUGAAAGAUGAAUAGGGAGAAUGUAUAUACAAGGCUGAGGAACCUAUCAUCGAUCAAGUUUGUUCUAUCAGCAACAAAUGAUGAUAUAACAAUGUCCUCUUCAUGUUUGUCUUGUAAAUUUCGAGUUUUAUUAUUUUGUAUCUUUUGCUUCAGUUGACACUAAGAAGACACUGUAUUUCAAUUUUGACUCUUAAAUUUAUGAUUGAAAUAAGCAUGUUAAAAUUUUAUAAUUUA